UUAAUUAAAACUGAAUGUAAUUGAUGUAACGCAUCUAAUACAAAGUUUCAACAACGGAUCUCUUGGCUCUCGCAUCGAUGAAGAACGCAGCGAAAUGCGAUAAGUAAUGUGAAUUGCAGAAUUCAGUGAAUCAUCGAAUCUUUGAACGCACCUUGCGCUCCUUGGUAUUCCUUGGAGCAUGCCUGUUUGAGUAUCAUGAAAUUCUCAAAGCAAGUCUUUUGUUAAUUCAAUCGGCUCUGCUUUGGAUUUGGGGGCUUGCAGAUUCACGUCUGCUCCUCUUAAAUGUAUUAGCUGGAUCUCCAUGAACUUGGUUCCACUCGGCGUGAUAAGUAUCACUCGCUGAGGACACCCGUAAAAAGGUGGCCAAGCUCGAGGAUGAGCCGCUUCUAAUAGUCCAUUAGCUUGGACAACUUAUUUAUGAUCUGAUCUCAAAUCAGGUAGGACUACCCGCUGAACUUAGCAUAUCAU
rnacentral:rRNA from 1 species